rnacentral:tRNA from 1 species
GAUAUAGCUCAGUUGGUAGAGCGCUUGCCUCACAUGCACAAGACCCUGGGUUCAAUACCUAGCAUC